rnacentral:rRNA from 1 species
UACGUAGGGUGCGAGCGUUAAUCGGAAUUACUGGGCGUAAAGUGUGCUCAGGCGGCCGAGCAAGUCGAGUGUGAAAGCCCCGGGCUUAACUUGGGAAUUGCGCUCGAAACUACUUGGCUGGAGUGUGGCAGAGGAAGGUGGAAUUCCAGGUGUAGCGGUGAAAUGCGUAGAGAUCUGGAGGAACACCGAUGGCGAAGGCAGCCUUCUGGGCCAACACUGACGCUCAUGCACGAAAGCUAGGGGAGCAAACAGG